UUACCGGUAGUCAGGGGAUGGGUUGUGAUUGGUAGACAUUAGCUAGGACCUGAAACAUUAUAUCCCGGUAUCAACCACAGAUAAAAAUACAGGACUAGGCCUACAGACUCUAUACUGAGGGUUUUCGUUGAAAUGUUCCUCAGGCUGAGUGUGGAGAGUAUAUCGUGUAGGGUUAACUUAAAUCCUUUUGAUAUCUAGGAUCUGAAACGUUAGAUCACAGCAUUGGCCACCGAUAGAAAAUACGGGACUUGCCAAUUAGGAGUAUGCUACAGAUGCCUGGUCUAAGGGUGUGUGGUGAGAGCAGGAUUUUCUUCAAAUCCCUCUGUUCAGGAGUCUAUCACCAGGUUCUGUGAGAUACAUGACAGACUGUUCAGGCAGAUAAUACAAUCAUGCAGUGAAUAAUGAAAUGAUGAUGAUUACCGGUCUACAUGUAACUAUAUAACCAGUGGCUUCACUCAGUAUUAGACUCAUAGAUAUUGUUAUUCAAGAAAAAUGUAUUGAAAUAGAAAAGAAAGUGGUAUAAAAGCAUGCUUUUGGGCAAGACCAGAGUAUGUGUAAUGUUUUUGGUAACAGGGCUUACUAGGGACAUGGCGUCUGGUUACGUACCUGUUUACAACACAGUCUGAGGUACAAUAGACUCAAGUGAGCCUUGCCGUCCCGUGUCCCAACUGUUUGGACGUCCGUGGGAACUGCACUGGUGUCUGAUGAGGCAUGUUGUUGUUGUUGAACGGUGAUUGUUCAGUCACCUUCUACAAGCCAUACUGAUAAUGAUUAAGUAAAAAAAAAUCAAAUGAGAAUUGCAACUGCACCUGAAGUCAGCAUGGCUGUCAGUUACCUUUACCUUCAGUUUUUUGAUUGCCAAAAGGUCACUUAGUUUCAAAAAGGCAGAAGAGUCGAAAAUCUACCCUGUCACAUUUAACUGGAUUCGGUGACUUGCAAACACCACCAAAAUUGUGCAGUGAUCGAGAGAACACCAUCUGUAUUGCUGCCCAAAAUAUGUCGACCUUGCAGACUCACUGGACGAGCUAUUUUCUUGCUGUGUGGCGACGGCUUUGCACAGGUGUGGACAUGACAGUGUUCUCGGCAAGGUUUCCUCAGCACACAUGGGAAGAUGCACUCAAGUACUUCACCCCAUCCUGAUCUGAGCUGUAGUGAGGUGGUGCACACAUAGACAGCAAGCAGCUCAUCCCACCUUCUGACAGCACUAGUUACAGUGUCCACUGUCAACUU